rnacentral:rRNA from 1 species
CAGUCGCCGCGGUUAUACGAAGGGGGCAAGCGUUGUUCGGAAUUAUUGGGCGUAAAGGGUGCGUAGGCGGUUUGAUAAGUCUUGUGUGAAAUCUAUGGGCUCAACCCAUAGUCUGCACAGGAAACUGUCGGGCUUGAGAGUGGGAGAGGUGAGUGGAAUUUCCGGUGUAGCGGUGAAAUGCGUAGAUAUCGGAAGGAACACCUGUGGCGAAAGCGGCUCACUGGACCAUUUCUGACGCUGAUGCACGAAAGCUAGGGGAGCAAACAGGAUUAGAUACCCCCGUAGUCCCUGUCUCUUAUAC